GAUGAGUAGGGCGGGACACGUGGUAUCCUGUCUGAAUAUGGGGGGACCAUCCUCCAAGGCUAAAUACUCCUGACUGACCGAUAGUGAACCAGUACCGUGAGGGAAAGGCGAAAAGAACCCCGGCGAGGGGAGUGAAAAAGAACCUGAAACCGUGUACGUACAAGCAGUGGGAGCACGCUUAGGCGUGUGACUGCGUACCUUUUGUAUAAUGGGUCAGCGACUUAUAUUCUGUAGCAAGGUUAACCGAAUAGGGGAGCCGAAGGGAAACCGAGUCUUAACUGGGCGUUAAGUUGCAGGGUAUAGACCCGAAACCCGGUGAUCUAGCCAUGGGCAGGUUGAAGGUUGGGUAACACUAACUGGAGGACCGAACCGACUAAUGUUGAAAAAUUAGCGGAUGACUUGUGGCUGGGGGUGAAAGGCCAAUCAAACCGGGAGAUAGCUGGUUCUCCCCGAAAGCUAUUUAGGUAGCGCCUCGUGAAUUCAUCUCCGGGGGUAGAGCACUGUUUCGGCAAGGGGGUCAUCCCGACUUACCGACCCGAUGCAAACUGCGAAUACCGGAGAAUGUUAUCACGGGAGACACACGGCGGGUGCUAACGUCCGUCGUGAAGAGGGAAACAACCCAGACCGCCAGCUAAGGUCCCAAAGUCAUGGUUAAGUGGGAAACGAUGUGGGAAGGCCCAGACAGCCAGGAUGUUGGCUUAGAAGCAGCCAUCAUUUAAAGAAAGCGUAAUAGCUCACUGGUCGAGUCGGCCUGCGCGGAAGAUGUAACGGGGCUAAACCAUGCACCGAAGCUGCGGCAGCGACGCUUAUGCGUUGUUGGGUAG
rnacentral:rRNA from 1 species